AUUGACUAUAAAUAAGUCAUUAAGUAUUGUAUCAGUUGCUAGAAGUUUCAUAAUCUUGUUAGUCUUCGUUUUGCGUUGUUCAGAAUAACUAAGUAGUUUAGAAUAACUUACCACCAAAACUGAACUUGAAGAAAACUCAAGUACCAGUGACGCCAGGCUACGCAACACACGUGGAUUAUUUGUAAGACUACAUUUAUAUUAAUUGUUAAUUACGCAUGUAAAGAAUAUCUAAAUAAACUGUAGUUUUUAUCAAUAUUC